AGAACAGAUAUCACCAUUACAGGGGAUUUCUUUGACUCUUCUGCCCAGGUUACCAUUGCAGGAAUUCCAUGUGACAUUAGACAUGUGUCUCCCAGGAAGAUUGAGUGCACCACCAGGGCUCCAGGAAAAGGAGCAAGGCUCACUGCUCCUCAGGCAGGCAAUCGAGGACUUCUUUUUGAAGUUGGAGAGGCUGUUAAGGAUGUGGAACUGACUGAAAUCACUCCAGGUUAUAGGUGGCAGAUAGUCCCUAAUGCCAGUUCUCCAUCCGGAUUUUGGUCAGAAGAAGGGCGACCUUUCAGAGCACGACUCAGUGGGUUCUUUGUGGCUCCAGAGACAAACAAUUACACAUUCUGGAUCCAGGCAGACAGCCA